UACGUAGGGGGCAAGCGUUUUCCGGAUUUAUUGGGCGUAAAGCGCUCGCAGGUGGUUCGUUGCGUCGUGCGUGAAAGACCCCGGCUCAACUGGGGGAUGUCGUGCGAUACGGGCGGACUGGAGGCCAGUAGGGGGAUGCGGAAUUCCGGGUGUAGUGGUGGAAUGCGUAGAGAUUGGAAAGAACACCGAUGGCGAAGGCACUUUACUGGGCUAUUACUAACACUCAGAGACGAAAGCUAGGGUAGCAAAUGGG
rnacentral:rRNA from 1 species